CUUUUAUAGCAGGUACAACCAUAUCAGAUGUCAUGACAUUGUGCAUGUCAUCUGAAAUAAUCCUGCAUGAACAUGUCUUUCAUCUAAGCUCCAGCAGGUACAUCCAAUAUUAGAAGCCUUGUCAUUUUAUGUGGCAUUCUAAAACAAUCCUGCUUGCAUAUGUUCUUUAACUCCAACAGGUACAUAAGAUAUCUCAUGUUAAGAUAUCACACAUGACAUCUUGUGAACACUCUUUGUUUUACCAAAAUUGUUGCCAACAC
rnacentral:lncRNA from 1 species